ACGCUCGACACCUACGGGGGACAGCAGUGGGGAAUAUUGCACAAUGGGGGAAACCCGUGAUGCAGCGACGCCGCGUGAGCGAAGAAGUAUUUCGGUAUGUAAAGCUCUAUCAGCAGGGAAGAAACUGACGGUACCUGACUAAGAAGCACCGGCUAAAUACGUGCCGACNNCGCGUAGUAUNGNGGCGNGNGAGAG
rnacentral:rRNA from 1 species